CUAACCUAAACUAAUUUAAAUAUCAUUUUUGAAUUUUUAUUUCUUUGUACUUAUUCUUUCUGAGUUUAUGUUAAAUACUUCAAAUAUUCAAAUCAAGAAGUUCCAAUUGGUCAAAUCAUAGGAAAAAAGAGAUUAAUUACUAGUCUACUUAAAUUAGAAUUUCUAAAUUAACGUCAAAUUAGGCAUAUUUUUCCCGACUUUGACAAGU
rnacentral:lncRNA from 1 species